CCGCUGCCGUUGCUUCCGUGGCUCGCCAUCAAUCGCCAUCGCCAUCGCCAUCGCCAUCGCUUUGCUUGUUGCCUGCUUGCCGCGUCGCCGCUCUACUUCCUCAUGGCUCCUCUCGCUGCUGCUGUUGCGUUUGGUUAGGGUGAGCUCCUUCUUUCGUUCGCUUAUUAAUUUCCGCUGCUUCCGCUCUCCACUCAGCUGUUGAUCUUUCUUCCUUCCGCUUUCUUUUCGUGUGUAGGGUGCCUGUGGCUGCUUUGUCGUGCGUCCGUGCGGCUGUUUGUUCCUUCUUUUCAGAGGUGAGGUUCUGCCCGUUCCCGAUCUUUCCUGUGUUGCUUGAGUCAUGGGUGCGUUUGUGCCAUGGAUCUAUUGUUUGCUGCUUCUAAGAGCCGAUGGGAUUUGGUUUAUCCUUUUUUGUGUUGUACUGAUGUGUGUCCAUGGAUGUUGUGUGUCGAUUUUUGCUUCCUGCCUGUGUGACUCCAUUCAUGCUCAUGAACUGUUUGACGUUAUGUCCCUUCACUGUGAGACGUUAAAUUUGUUCUUCUUAUUUCAGAAAUCGCACUAAUCGGUUCGUCGUCAGAUUUGCCUUGCUGUUUCAUUUACUCAAAGGAUCAUCUUUCUCUUCAGGUUCGAUUUUCAGCACUUUUCCUUGCCGCUUCAGUCUAUUGUGCUUUUUCUUGUAUGUUAUACGCUUUAAAACGAGAUCAACCUAAGCGAACUUGUUUGUGCCAUUUGAAAUUCAGUUAUGUGCAAAGAAAAAGGUCGCAAAAUAGUUAGUAAUAAUUAUUAAACAAUAGACGAAGUAGAUGGAGAACUUAUCACUUUUACUGUUUCAUUACCUCAUCAGGAUCUGGUACUUCCAGUGUAGUGCCAUGAGGUGCUUUUAUCGCGAUUAGUGUUUCAUUCUGCAGAACGACAAAGACCAUAUGAGAUCGCAACAAAAUUAUCUCCAUACAGAUUAUUAUAGCUGGUCUGUUAAGCUAACUCUGAACAAUUAGCAAUAAAGUGACCUUUGGAAAUGAAUAAUAUUGCAUUUCUCAGUAAAACAGACAGACCUGAAAACAGGGCAAUCCCUUGAUGUCAUCCUCGGUAAGGUAUAGCCACCUAAAGGCAGGAAUUCCAGAAAAAGAUUAGUACAUGAUUAGAAACUGGCAUCCUAUUAAGUACAAAAGCCAAACAUGGAAGGAAUAUAGUUUACCUCUGAUUGUUCUCCUCUUCAGUUAACUCCCUCACCUUUUCAUGCAUUUCACUGCAAGUAUAAUUAUUUUCAGAUCAUGUAGCUAUUUGUUUUAGGUACCAGACAAAUUACAGUCAAUAAUUUUGCAACCUCCAGUAGCUACCAACCUUAUACGAUUAUCCAAUGUUUUUUCUUGGAGUUUAAAAUUUUCAAGUUCUGUCUGCGCCAAGGUUACACAAAAGGCUGCUUAGAUUAAAAUGUUUUCUGUUUCUAUCUUCAGAAGAAAUUAUCAAAACUGACAAUUUCAAGGUUGCAAGAACUAGAAAAUUACAGCAAUACGUAUCUCCAAAACUGAAAUUUCAUUGUCUAAGUUAGCUCCUGAGUCAUCCAAACCGCUGCAGCGUUGCGAGCUUAGCAUUUCACACCAUAAAUACAUGCAUAAAUAGUUAGAAAGAAGACAAUGUUUACCUCCAACGGAUUCUGUUCUUAAGCUUCUUUAUGGGACGUCCUUCCAGCCGAGGCCCAAAAAUACCAUCCGCCUGGCCCAUGGCAAAUGCUCAGCCCAACCGUGUUUUCGCAAAACAAAGCCCAAAACUGGCUAUACCGAUUCCACACGCCCGCACCCGGGUAAUUCGUUUCUAUAUGUUCACACACUAGGCUGUACAUACUCGAAUCAUCAAUUGGAUAGCACAAAUAUUCACUUCUCUUUGCUCUUCUUACUUAAGCAUUCAAAGUUAUCUUCCAUAUCACACAACAAUUUAUGUCCAUGUAAAUAACCUGCUUUCUUUUACCAGUAUUUUCAGGUUAACUAUACUGAAGAGAACCUGCUCGACUACAUUGAUCCAAACAAUGAUACACUCAUGGUGAGACUUGCCGAUGACCAUUUGGUCGCCAAGUGUCGCAUCAUGGUAGCAACUGACAAGAGGGCCACUAUAACCACCAACUGGUCUGAGUUUCGUCGUCGCGCCAACAUUCGUGAAGGAGAUGUCUGUGCAUUUCGUUUUAGGAUCAUUUCAAGGCGCCGCCUGGUUCUCACCAUGCACCACCUCUAGAUGCACAAUCAAACAUGCUACGGCCCCUCCGUCAAUAUAAUCUAAUAUAAUGCACUAUUAAGUACUCCUAAUUAUGCUAUAGCCCUGUAAUGACCUAUGCUCCUCUUUUGUGCGCUCUUAUAUCAUGCUUUUCAAGACCUACUGCUUAUGUUGACAGCAUUGAUAUCAAUCAGACGUUUCAUGUUCAGAUCCAUAAUGGGUUUUCUCUCUACAGUUUAUAUUUCUUUUCCUGCUGCUAACUUUGUUCAAUCAAGAUACCAUCCCAAACGUUAAUUAAAAUAAAAAGGAGUGUUCAAAGGGGCGAGUACAACCAGGCAACGCCCAGCUCCCCCUCAAGAGGCGCGCCACGGGCGCGCCCCAGCACCUAGU
rnacentral:lncRNA from 1 species